rnacentral:rRNA from 1 species
UACGUAGGUGGCAAGCGUUAUCCGGAUUUACUGGGUGUAAAGGGCGUGUAGGCGGGACUGCAAGUCAGAUGUGAAAACCACGGGCUCAACCUGUGGCCUGCAUUUGAAACUGUAGUUCUUGAGUACUGGAGAGGCAGACGGAAUUCCUAGUGUAGCGGUGAAAUGCGUAGAUAUUAGGAGGAACACCAGUGGCGAAGGCGGCUUACUGGACGAUGACUGACGCUGAGGCCCGAAAGCGUGGGGAGCAAACAGG